GUAGGUGGCAAGCGUUGUCCGGAAUUAUUGGGCGUAAAGCGCGCGCAGGCGGUUCUUUAAGUCUGAUGUGAAAGCCACGGCUCAACCGUGGAGGGUCAUUGGAAACUGGAGAACUUGAGUACAGAAGAGGAAAGCGGAAUUCCACGUGUAGCGGUGAAAUGCGUAGAGAUGUGGAGGAACACCAGUGGCGAAGGCGGCUUUCUGGUCUGUAACUGACGCUGAGGCGCGAAAGCGUGGGGAGCAAACAGGAUUAGAUACCCUGGUAGUCCACGCCGUAAACGAUGAGUGCUAAUGUUAGGGGGUUUCCGCCCCCCUUAGUGCUGCAGCUAACGCAUUAAGCACUCCGCCCUGGGAGUACGGCCGCAAGGCUG
rnacentral:rRNA from 1 species